CAUGGGCCUUCAUAGCAUGCUCAUGACAAUCUUCAUCAGUCCCUCCUUUGGUAAGCAUCCUGCUUCCAUUCUUGCAGGGCAUGCUACUCAGGAGGUGUGGUGUUUCAGCUAUCAAGGAAUGCUGGCUUUCACAGUCAGGAUUGUGGGGACCCGUGUCCAGUCCCUGUUCUGUCUCUUCUUUAUCCCUAACUUUCUUUCUGAUCUCAUCUCCCACCAUCCUCUGCAAUGGUUUAUAUUGCUCUUAACCACACUGUAAACCACGUUGAUAGUCCUAUAUGAAAUUUCACCACCCUCUGUGCUCUCUCUCACUUUACUUUUUCAUACUUAUUAUCACUUUUUGCAAUAUAAUAUUUAUUUGUUCAUUUGUUUGUUUAUUGUUACUCUUUCUUCCCCCAUAAAAAUGUCUGUCAUCUCCAUGAAAGCAUAUAGCCUGUUUUGUCAACUCUUCUAUCCUAACACCUGAAGGAGUUUCAGUAAGUAUUGGCAAAUGAACGAAUGUAUCUCCUUACCUCCCUACAGAAUCUUUAGUAUAAAACAAACAUUCAUAUUGGUGUCCCAAAAUUGGAUGUCCCUUGGGAAUAAAAUGAAGCUUUAGUAGCGCCUUAAAUAAAUGUAGGGCAGCAUCAGCUCAGCCGCCUCAAUGGUAAUCACUGAACUAGUCAAUUACCCUGGGAAAGCAGAAGAACAGCUCAAAGUGUUUAUAUUCUUGUACUGGGCAGGUAGAGGAAAAAGAAACUGAGAAAUUCUGUGUACUCAUUACUUAUUAAAAUGAUGGCUAUAUACAAUAAAAGAGUUUGGUUAAGUCCUAUACUUUGGAAACCAUAUAAUACUAUUCAAGCAUGUGGCUUUACGGUGAUCUGAUGUAACCGAAAGAUAGAAACUAAGAGGACCAGAUGGACUAAUGUAGGAGAACUGUUCAUCAAAAAUUUCCUUUCUCUCUGGUACACUUUUAUCAGAUGUCGAAAAACAAAUGAUCCGAGGUAGGAAAUGCCACAUAGCAUGUGGAAUUCUCUCUACGUAUAUUCAGAGAGCAAUCAUUUCUGGCUCAUUCCAGUCUAUUCUAAAAACUCUACAAAUUGGCUAAGACCAAUAUUUAAUUCCCGACUACCUUUGCUACUUUUCUUUAGGACUCUUAAAAAGUUUAAUUUUUUCCAGGAUAAUUAUAAUAAAUCUGGUCAAUAUUUUCCUAACUGUAGAAGAGCAAAUUUGCUAGUGGAAAUACAGAAGACUGAGGGAAUUCGAUUUUCUCCUUCAAGCCACUAAAAUGUCUGUCAUUCAGUAAGAAUGAAAUGAGAACAACUAAAAAGGAAAAAAAAAAAAGACACUUUGUUUAGGCCAUUCCACUAAAUCAUUGGUUUUAAAUAAAGUGCAAAAACGGUGGGCCUGGGUGGCUCAAUUGGCUAAGUGGCUGCCUUCAGCUCAGGGUAGGAUCCCAGGGUCCUGAGAUCUAGGGAGCCCUAUGUUCAGCUCCCUGCUCAGUGGGGAGUCUGCUUCUCCCUCUGCAUAUCCCCCUGCUCAUGCUGUCUCUCACACUCAAAUAAAUAAGUAAAAUCUUUCUUUAAAAAUGCAAAAAUGUCUAAUUGCUCUAGACCAUUAGAUCUUAACUGGUAUGGUAUUUUAGAACAAAUUUGAGAGAGCCCCUUAAUUCACUUCUAAAUCUAAAGCCUAAACCAAAGAAACUUUGACGUGUGAAUUUUUCUAUUUCUUAUUCUAUCCACAUAGAUAAUAGCAAGAUUUAUCAAUACCUAGUGCUUUAAACAGCAUGUUGAAUGUUGAUUGAAUGAGGAAAGUCAGUGCAUGAUUUAAUGACUGCACAUAUUAAGAAAGGGAUAUAUUUUAACCUGCAUUCUACUUACAUUGAUAGGAACAUUAAAAAGUUAAGAAAUUGAUGAUAUCUUUUUAGAUGAAACAUCAAAGAUACAACACAUGAAAGAAAUAAUUGAUAAGCAGACUUUAUUAAAAUUAAAAACUUUUGCUCUGCCAAAGACAGUAUCAAGAGAAUGAAAGGUACGCCACAGGCUGGGAGAAAAUAUUUGCAAAAGACACAUCAGAUGGAGGCUGUUUGCAGAAUAUACAAAGAACUCUUAAGGAUCCCCAAUAAUAAAAAUCAAACAACCGAUUAAAAAAUGGACCAAAGACCUUCCUACAGACACCUCACCAAAGAAGAAAUAUAGGAGGCAAAUAAACACGAAAAGACACUUCAUAUUGUAUGUUAUUAAGGAAAUACAAAAUAAAACAAACAAAACAACAAUGAGGUAUCGCUAUACACUUAUUAGAUUGGCCAGAAUCUAUAAACUGACAGCUUUGAAUUCUAGCCAGGAUGUGGAGCAACAAGAAUUCACUGCUGGUGGAAAUGCAAAAUAUUACAGUCAUAGUUUGGCAGUUUCUUAUAAACCUAAAUAUAGGGCAGCCCAGGUAGCUCAGUGGUUUAGCGCUGCCUUCAGCCCAGGGCAUGGUCCUGGAGACUCAGGAUCAAAUCCCAUGUCGGACUCCCUGCAUGGAGCCUGCUUCUCCCUCUGCCUGUGUCUCUGCCUCUCUCUCUGUGUCUCUCAUAAAUAAAUAAAUAAAAUCUAAAAGUAAAAAAAAAAAAAA
rnacentral:lncRNA from 1 species